rnacentral:rRNA from 1 species
CAAUAGCGUAUAUUUAAGUUGCUGCAGUUAAGAAGCUCGUAGUUGGAUUUCGGGUGGGAAUGGCCGGUCCGCCGUUUCGGUGUGCACUUGCUACGCCCACCUUGCUGCCGGGGACGUGCUCUUGAGUUCACGCUCGGGACACGGAGUCGGCGAGGUUACUUUGAGUAAAUUAGAGUGUUCAAAGCAGGCCUACGCUCUGAAUACAUUAGCAUGGAAUAACACGAUAGGACUCUGGCCUAUCUUGUUGGUCUGUAGGACCGGAGUAAUGAUUAAGAGGGACAGUCGGGGGCAUUCGUAUUUCAUUGUCAGAGGUGAAAUUCUUGGAUUUAUGAAAGACGAACUACUGCGAAAGCAUUUGCCAAGGAUGUUUUCAUUAA